rnacentral:lncRNA from 1 species
GAAGUGGAUAUUUUUUUCAAAUAUUCAUUAUUUUUCGAAAGGUGGUUUUGGAUUUGAGCUGUGUUCAUCUUACACAAUAUGGAAAUUACGUUAUUCGGUGUUUAAAAGUUUCUACCAAUGUCGCAGGAAGACAAAAAAUUUGUUUGGAUUAAAAUAGAACCCAAUUCCGUAGAGAUCGAAGCUACCAUCACGGACCAUGAAGUAGAGAAAGUGAACUCCCAGACCAGUCAUUCAUAUAAGAUGAAGCCUGAGCCUGAUUGGGCAAUCGAGGACAAAGAGUUUGACGAGAGUGUUGCGCAGGCAGGCCUGUACGCUGACCACAUUAUUAAGGAAGAGGUUGCGCUCGGACCUGAGGUGAUACAGCAGCCUAAAGUAGCAAUGCCUUACCCAGAAUACCGUGCAGCAACAAGCCCUACAGAACCGAUUUGGCCUAAAUCCACAAAAAAUGUAAUUUUUACGUGUCAAUCAUGUCAGAAAACCUUUUACCAAGAAGACAGUUUAAGAAGGCAUGUGUUCGCAAUUCAUGCUAAAUAUGAAAUCCCUAAAACUAAAAUGAAAAAAAUGCACAUCUGCAUGUUUUGUUGCCAAAUGUUUCUAUCUAAAAAUGGUUUGACUGAACACUUGAAGAUUCACUUUAGAGAAUCCAAUAAACUUCAAGAAAAUGUUAUUUUUGACAAGAAACUUAAUGUAUUCAGCCCAGAAAAACUAUUUCAAUGGAACCUGAUAAUGAAUACAAUACGGCACAUUUCACAGAAGUCAAAGACCGUUUCAAAAAACCAUACACGUGUAAAGAAUGUCAAGAAACUUUUGUCCUGCAAAAGUGUCUUGAAGAGCAUAUUUUGGACAACCAUGCUCUCCCUGAAUAUCAUGAUAAAGUGUUAUAUGCAUGUAAACCAUGUCUUAAAACAUUUGAUUCGAUGGAGAGUCUCACAAGGCACAGGUUUGCUAUACACACAAAACAUGAGCUUAACAGCUGCAGAAGCCAUGAAAUUGAUCAAGACGGAGUAAUGCGUUCCUGUUACUUUUGCUGUCAAUGGGUUGAUAAAGAAGAUUUAUUUAAACAUAUGGAACUUCACAUAGAAUUUGCUAGUGAGAUUAACGAUUAACUUACAAAAUAUAUAGGUAUAUUAUCGGACUUUAAAAAUAAGACUCAAGUUUUCUGACGCAGGAAUAAAUUUUGCGAAAAACGAGUAUACUCGUUAUGCAGAAAAUAAUGUUAGACAGAUCGAAUUUGUCUAAAAAAAAUUAAGCUGUAACUUAAGAGUAUUGUGCUAUGCCGAGCUUCGUUUAAAGGAUUGUGUGAGGUCGAAAAUGUCCAAGAAAAUAAAAACAUUUUCAAUGCGCAAUAUUUUUACUCUUGCAUUUUGUCGGAAUCCGACGGUCAAAUCCGAAUCCGUGAAAUUAAGAUCCGUCAUAGCCGUAGAAUGUAGAUAUCUUUCCGUCAUUUUUCGGAUCUACUUAGUGCGUAAACUCCCAUACCAAUAGUUCUACGCCCAUGAUGGAUUCUAUUUUCGCGGAUUUGGACCUAAUUCGUUAAGAGUAUUGAAUAUGUCUAAUGCCGACUCCAUAUCUCGCUAACGUCUUACCGCGCAAUAAAAACUACAAUGCCUAUUACGUAUAAACUAAUUUCACAGUUGUAACUUUGUUAACUUAUCUGUUUUUCUUUUUUGACUCGGUAUUUUGAUCAAUUGUAAUAUGGCUGAACAAAUUGAGUGAAUUGCUUGAAUAUAGUCAUUGUUUUGUUAUAAAGGACGACUGUGUACAGAGAUCUAUCCUAUUAGGUUUUGGCUGCUGAUUAUCAAAGUCUCUGUUACCAUGUCGCUCAUAUGCUCACUGCUCAUGGGUAUAGCACUAGUUGCUAUCGUUCGCGGUGAUAUGAGCAGUUGCAUUAUGAAGGAUAUUGGUACACAUGAUGGUAGCUUCUACUCUGAAUAUGCUGUAAAGCUUUCUACCGGGACAACCAGAGACGUGGAAAUGGCAACUUUCAUCUGCAGCGAAAGAUCAUUGAAGUGUGUCGGUGUGCAAAUGCAUGUGUGCAAUAAUAACCGUAGCAACACGCACACAGCCGUAAUCGACGGACCCCCAAGGGACAGUUUGUCUCCCGUGAACAUUACCUGUCGGGACCCAACUGGCUGCUCACUUUUUGUUAAAGAAGAAUGCGCGAAAAAAGAAUAUAAUGUUUAACGAAAAA